UCGGGUGGCAACACCCGUGAAGAUCUAGUGGCGAACGGGUGCGUAACACGUGAGAAACCCACCCCGAACUUCGGGAUAACAGGUGGAAACACCUGCUAAUACCGGAUACCUCCGCCGAGUCGCAUGGCUUGGCGAAGAAAGGUCUGCCGGUUCGGGACGGUCUCGCGGCCUAUCAGCUUGUUGGUGGGGUAAUGGCCUACCAAGGCAUCGACGGGUAGCUGGUCUGAGAGGAUGAUCAGCCACACUGGGACUGAGACACGGCCCAGACUCCUACGGGAGGCAGCAGUGGGGAAUCUUGCCCAAUGGGCGCAAGCCUGAGGCAGCAACGCCGCGUGCGGGAAGAAGGCCCUCGGGUUGUAAACCGCUUUCAGCAGGAACGAAAAUGACGGUACCUGCAGAAGAAGGUGCGGCCAACUACGUGCCAGCAGCCGCGGUGACACGUAGGCACCAAGCGUUGUCCGGAUUUAUUGGGCGUAAAGAGCUCGUAGGCGGUUCGGUAAGUCGGGUGUGAAAACUUUGGGCUUAACCCAAAGACUGCAUCCGAUACUGCUGUGACUUGAGUCCGGUAGGGGAGUGGGGAAUUCCUGGUGUAGCGGUGGAAUGCGCAGAUAUCAGGAGGAACACCGGUGGCGAAGGCGCCACUCUGGGCCGGUACUGACGCUGAGGAGCGAAAGCGUGGGGAGCGAA
rnacentral:rRNA from 1 species